UGUAAGUAGACUACAGUGCAUCUAAAGGUGAAACCAAAUUUGGAUUUGAACAUCUCUAUUAGUGCCGUUUUCUUUGUGACUCGCCAUCAACGAACGAAGGGGUGGCGGUGCUUGAACUGCAAGCUGAUCUGAGAUGAAGGCCACCAUCCUCGUAAUCUUGGCCUUGGCAGGAUACUGCCAGGCAGGACCUGUCACACCAUGGAAGCCCGCACCGCCGAAGACCAUGUGUAGUGCGUCACGGUAAACGGAAGAUAAAGAACGAGAAUUCAACGUUGGUGAGGAGUGGUCGGAGAUCUGGAAGAAGGUCUUCCCGUACGCGUGUCGUUGCACACGGGAAAUGGAUAUUUUCAAAGGAGGGGAAUGGUCCGAAAAUGCCAUCACUUUCUGUCGACUAGAAGGGUGUCGCGUGGCAACAGACGAGGGGGAAGUUUUCGUGCCGCCAAAUAAGAAUCAGCUUGGAUGUAACUGCACUGCCGGAGGAGUUGAAUUUUGGGACUUCAUGGCCUUUGCGCCAGAAUUAUACGACUGCGAAAUAGGAUUGGGGUCCCACGCAUACAAUUAGUGAUACGCUGGCUCCGAACUUUACCGUAGUACAGUCGUAACUGAGCUCAAUCCUAAAAGUGUUUCAAAGGCUCACUUGCCAUCACCUGACAUAGCUGAACCCUCGGUUUUUCAGGGAAAUGACAAAUCCUUUGAGCUAUUUUACUGCUCAAAAACCGUUAAGAAUUUUCAUGGAGCAUAUCUGUGUUAAUUAAAAAACCCUCAAAGGUACAUGCAUUUGAAAAGCUCAAAAGUCCUUGAUUAUAAGAUACAGUGUGUGGGGUCGCACUCUGCAAAAAAUCUAGCCUCACCUGCAUCUAGAUCUGAUCAAACUAGAAGAAGCUACAGAGAGUAUCCCGAGGUCUUCAGGUCAAGUAACUCUUCCCACAAUGGUGUAACGAAGUUGGAGACGUCGAAAUGGAGUCCAAAACCUGAGGGUCAAAGUGUGGCGAUACAACCCUGUAUGAUGGCUGAUGAGUUGAGUGCACGCGGGAUGUUGUGAUUGAUUAUUCCAUACAGUGAUAGUUCUUGGAACAUAAACAAAUUAAUGUACAA